UCCGUAGGUGAACCUGCGGAAGGAUCAUUACCAAGUGAGAAGAUUGACUCUAUAAAAACGGUCGGUCUUGCUCUUCUUGUGUGCAACGUCUGGUCGACAAUUGAGUUGACCACUGGAGUUUAAGUUUUCUAGUAUUGUGAAAGAUACUUGGAAGCAGCGACUCUAUGGCCUUUCGGCUGGUAUAGGACCAAGUUGAAAAACUUGGACUUUGCUAGUUUCACGUUUUACUUGAAACAGCCAGCCAAAGGUUACUUUAUUAACUUGUAUGAAUUGAUGUAAGAUUUAUUUAUAAAAGUUGUUAAAACAACUCUUGGCAAUGGAUCUCUUGGUUCUCGCAUCGAUGAAGAGCGUAGCAAAGUGCGAUAAUUAUUGCGACUUGCAUCCAUAGUGAAUCAUCGAGUUCUUGAACGCAUCUUGCACCUAGUGGUUUAUCCACUAGGUACGGUUGUUUCAGUAUCUGCAACUACCAAACAAAACUCUUUUGGGUUUUGGAACUGGGCUCUAGUUUAGUUGAUUCAAUUUGACUAAUGGCCUUAAAUUCAAGUUAAUCCUAGAUGUUUCUGUAAUGGAAAGAUCGGAUGGAGACUCUAUAGAGUUGAGAAAGCAGGCUUUGGGUUUGUGAAUUUUACCUAAAACCAAUUCAAGUCUUUUUCAAAUCUUGUCUCUAGUCAAACGGAUUAAAAAAAGUAAAAACUUCACAAUUAGAUCUGAAAUCAACUGAGGUUACCCGCUGAACUUAAGCAUAUCAAUAAGCGGAGGA
rnacentral:rRNA from 1 species